rnacentral:rRNA from 1 species
AGUGAACGCUGGCGGCAGGCCUAACACAUGCAAGUCGAGCGGCAGCGCGGGGGCAACCCUGGCGGCGAGCGGCGGACGGGUGAGGAAUUCGUCGGAAUCUGCCUUUUUGUGGGGGAUAACGUAGGGAAACUUACGCUAAUACCGCAUACGUCCUACGGGAGAAAGUGGGGGACCGCAAGGCUCACGCAGAAAGAUGAGCCGACGACCGAUUAGCUAGUUGGUGGGGUAAAGGCCCACCAAGGCGACGAUCGGUAGCUGGUCUGAGAGGAUGAUCAGCCACACUGGGACUGAGACACGGCCCAGACUCCUACGGGAGGCAGCAGUGGGGAAUAUUGGACAAUGGGCGCAAGCCUGAUCCAGCCAUGCCGCGUGUGUGAAGAAGGCCUUCGGGUUGUAAAGCACUUUUGUCCGGAAAGAAAUCCCUGGAGCUAAUACCUUCGGGGGAUGACGGUACCGGAAGAAUAAGCACCGGCUAACUUCGU